CGCAGAUGAUGCUUCUGGCAUUCAGAAACAAAGAUCUAUGUAUCACUGGGAUAAGAGGAGUAAAAAGUACAUCAAGUUAAACAAUGGUGACCGAGUUGCUGCAAACGGAAAGAUAAAGACAGAGAGUGGUGCAAAAACGAAGGCCACCAAGACUGGUUUGUAUAAGAAGUGGAAAGAACGCUCGCAUCACUGAAAUUUGCGACGCUUGUCAUGGUGCACCUAAGAAGCCAGCGGCUCCACCUAGGAACAUUGAUCCGAGUUAGUGCAAGAAGCUUGAAUUCUGACUCAGACUCUAUCCACCCUGCUUCAUCUAGAUGUAAACUUAGACCAGUUACAUACCACAAUUCUUUCGCAACUGCAUUUUGUGCUCAUAAUUUGGCGAUGUAUAGGAAAACGUAUUUUACAGAACACUUUUGAAUCUGACCAAGAUGUUACAUCUAGCAACCACGUUGUAUAGCAAACUGUUGACGUUAGUUUAUUUUACAAUGAAUUAUUCUGUAGUUUUAAUUUCUUUGUCAAGUUGGUUGAUUCAAUUUCACCGCAAUUAAGUUUUGUAAAUGAUGGUCCAAGCUUGAAUGAUACUUUCCCUCCGAAAUCGUUACGUUCUUCCCAUUUCAUAUAUUCUAUUCUUAUAUGGUUUGUGUGAUUAUUGAUAUCAAACUGAUAUGCUUAAUAGCGUCAUCAACCAAUAAAACUUUAGCGAAACCUGGAUUGAUGCUUGGCCAGAAAUUUAGUACUAGUUGAUUGAAAAAACUGGUGGAGGAAAUCUAUUCUUUUCCUGCAUAACUGUUUUUCUUUUCACUUUAGCAUUGCAUGAUCGAUGGGGUGUUGUUGAGGUGGCCGUCACAUAUUGUUUGGAUUUUUUUUUUCAAAUAUGGGGAAAAUUAUUAAUCAAGAUGAACAAAAUCAAAGCAGAAUAUGGACAAUUACGACCUAAAUACUGAGAGAGCUAUAUUGCAUCA